CUUUGGGCUCCCAGGUUGAGAAAGUACCUCAUCAUUGAGGGCAUUGCGGGCAGGUGGCAGGAGCAUGUGGUGUCUGCAGUCAAGAAGCAGAGGGAGAUGAGUGUUGGUGAUCGGGUAGCUUUCUGCCUUCCCCCUUUGACUCAGUUCAGGGCAGAGGCUCACACCGCUGCCUACUCCAGGGCUGCCUACACCAGGGUACGACAGUUACCUCUGUAGAAGCACCCACAUGCUUCCUGAGUGAUUCUAAAUGAAGUCGAAUUGACAAUGGAGAUUACUGUAGCUAGAGUUUUCCUGCCUGGCCCACAGUCAGGACAAAUCUCUCUCACCCGCCAGUCCCGCAGCUGCUCAGACCCGACCAAGUAAACACAGAGACUUAUAUUGCUUACAAACUGUAUGGCCGUGGCAGGCUUCUUGCUAACUGUUCUUACAGCUUAAAUUAAUCCAUUUCCAUUAAUCUAUACCUUGCCACAUGGCUCGUGGCUUACCGGCAUCUUCACAUGCUGUUUGUCAUCAUGGUGGCUGGCAGUGUCUCUGACUCAGCCUUCCACUUCCCAGCUUUAUUCUCCUCCUUGUCCCGCCUAUACUUCCUGCCUGGCCACUGGCCAAUCAGUGAUUUAUUUAUUGACCAAUCAGAGCAACACACUUGCCAUACAGAUCAUCCCGCAGCAGAUUGCUCCUCCCAGCUGGGUUAAGAACCUUGCCCAAGAUCACUCACUGGGUUCGGGGCUAAAGCUUCACUUUGACCACGGGCAGUUUGGUUUCAGAACCAGUAUCCUAACGAUUAAGUUGCUAAAAAGGCUAAGCAAGAUGCAAAAAUGGAUGCAGGGUUCAAAAGAACUGGGUUCAAAUCCCAUCUCUACUACUUAAGGAAAUAACAAAAAAGUUCUGUCCAACCUCACUGCUAUGCUGCUGUCCCUUAGCUAUGAAAGACCAUAAUGCAUGUGCCAUAGAAAAGCAAGACAGAUAAACAGGUAAAUGCCGGAACAUGCCAAGCCUUGGAUAAGAUUUGGCUAUUAGAGGGUAGGAUACACCAACCCCACUCAUUUGAAUCUGAUAUAAACUUACCUGCAAAUGUUUAAGUCUCAAAAACAAGGUUACUACAUUUUAAUUGAGAUUUUUUUUUUCUCAACACAACUCAUUUAAGCCAAUUCAAUUUUGCUAUCAGCUUUCUAAAUGACCAAGUUACAAGAUGGAUGAGUGCUUGCAAAUGUUUCUGGCUUUUUUUUGUUUGUUUGUUUUUGUUUUUUUUGCAUUUAAUUAACAAAGGAUUCCUUAUGUUGAGAUCAAUUGCAUUUAUUGAUUAGGGCUUUGGGCAAUAGUCAACAUGACCGAUUACAGACUCUGUUAUUGGGGACUUUACUUGGUAACAAUUAUUUUCACCAAACUCACUUUUCCUGGGUCACAUUCCACUGAUCUAAAUAUUAUUAAGAAGCUUAGAUUCCAUUAUUCCAUUUUAGUCAAUAGCAAAGGCUAUUGUUUGAGGUCUUAGCAAGGCAUGGCUUUUUUGUGUUGAUAAACAUUAUUCCAAGUCUAGUUCUUUUCUUUUUCUUUUUUUUUGGCAAUUAAGGUCCUCCCCACAACAUGCAAAGCAUGGGAAUUUCAGUUUUAUUUUAUUCCUUUAAUUAUUAUUUUGAGAUCAUUUCAGUUUCAUAGAUUUUUUAAAUGUAUGCAUAUGUGUGUUCACGUGUGUGCACACAUGCUUGUGUAUGCACUCAUGCAAUCCUGAGCAUACAGGUGCCCAUGGGACCCAGAAGAGGGAGCCAAAGACCCUGGAGGCCCUGGAGGCCCUGGAGACGGAGUUGCACCAGGUUGUAAGCACUAGGUGUGGUGCUGAGAACUAAACUUGGAUCCUCUAGGAGAACAGGGAUCACUCUCUUCUGCUGAACCAUCGCUCCAGAUCUUCAUCUGUGUCUUCAGGAAUACUUCGCACUGUGCUGCUUAAGAGUGGUGAAAAUGGACAUCUUUGCCUUGUGUCUGGUUUGGGGCUUCCUGUGAUACCACAUCGCGGGAAGUUGAGAUAUCCUGCAAUAGGGCUGAUGACAUGAUGCAGCCGGUAAAGAUGUCGCUACUCAGUGAUGCAAGCCUGACAACCUGAACCAAAUCCCUGGAACCCACGUAAAGUUGCCCUCUGAUCCCCACAUGGACACUGUGGGAUGUGUACCCUCCCCCACAUACAUACAACAACAACAAAAAUA